GACGAACGCUGGCGGCGUGCUUAACACAUGCAAGUCGAACGAAGUGGCGAACGGGUGAGUAACGCGUAAUCAACCUGCCCUUCAGAGGGGGAAAACAGUUGGAAACGACUGCUAAUACCGCAUACUGAAGGAGGGGAUUGCGUCUGAUUCGCUAGUUGGAGGGGUAACGGCCCACAAAGGCGAUGAUCAGGAGCCGGUCUGAGAGGAUGAACGGCCACAUGGGAGCUGAGACACGGCCCAGACGCCUACGGGAGGCAGCCGUGGGGAAUCUUCCGCAAUGGACGAAAGUCUGACGGAGCAACGCCGCGUGAGUGAUGACGGCCUUCGGGGUGUAAAGCUCUGUUAAUCGGGACGCGGUACCUGAAUAGAAAGCCACGGCUAACUACGUGCCAGCAGCCGCGGUAAUUC
rnacentral:rRNA from 1 species